AGAGUUUGUUCCUGGCUCAGAACGAACGCGGGCGGCAGGCUUCACACAUGCAAGUCGAGCGCCCCGCAAGGGGAGCGGCAGACGGGUGAGUAACGCGUGGGAAUCUACCCAUCUGUACGGAAUAACUCAGGGAAACUUGUGCUAAUACCGUAUACGCCCUUCGGGGGAAAGAUUUAUCGGAGAUGGAUGAGCCCGCGUUGGAUUAGCUAGUUGGUGGGGUAAAGGCUCACCAAGGCGACGAUCCAUAGCUGGUCUGAGAGGAUGAUCAGCCACACUGGGACUGAGACACGGCCCAGACUCCUACGGGAGGCAGCAGUGGGGAAUAUUGGACAAUGGGCGCAAGCCUGAUCCAGCCAUGCCGCGUGAGUGAUGAAGGCCCUAGGGUUGUAAAGCUCUUUCACCGGUGAAGAUAAUGACGGUAACCGGA
rnacentral:rRNA from 1 species